rnacentral:rRNA from 1 species
GUGAGUCAUCGAGUCUUUGAACGCACCUUGCGCUCGUUGGUAUUCCGACGAGCAUGCCUGUUUGAGUGUCAUUAAAUUCUCAACCUCAUCGCUUUUGUGAUGAUGGCUUGGAAGUUGGAGGUUUUUUGCAGGCUGAAAAGUCUGCUCCUCUCAAAUGAAUUAGUGGGUGCCCCGCGCAAACCUAUCUAUUGGUGUGAUAAUUAUCUACGCCGUGGAUCCUUAGGAUUGCUGUAAAAAGGUGUUUGCCCUGCUUCUAACCGUCUUCGGACAACUUGAACCAUUUGACCUCAAAUUCAGGUAGGACUACCCGCUGAACUUAAGCAUAUCAAUAAGCGGAGG